ensembl:lncRNA
AAAAUAUUAAGAAGAAAAAAGCGGUAGCAUGAACGCAUGGUGUACUGUUUUAUUGAAGCUUGUUCACUCACUGUUGGUUUUGGAAGGACAUAAUGACUUCAUCAGUGUCAAAGGGAUGUUUUGUUUUUAAGUCAGCCUCCAAAAAGAGAAAGCGACAUAUAGGAGUUGGUGAGUAAUUAUUAUCAUUAUUAUCACUUUACAAAUACUUAUCAUCAUUAUCGAGCAUCUUCGUUUUAUUUAUUUGCAUGUAGGUGGAUAUUUGGUGGAUGAUAGUGACGAUAACGGCAGCGAUCGCUUUAGAAUCUGUCAGA